UUCUACUAGUGACUCCAAAAUAAUCAAGUGUUGUCACUUGAGAAGUGGAUUAGCAACUUGAAAGUUGAACUUGUAUUUUAAAAUUAGUAAAGUGUGAUCACAUGAAAAUGUGAAUUCAUGACUUGAAAUUGAUUUAGUAUUGAUACUUGAAAUGACUUGAAAUUGAUUUAGUAUUGAUACUUGAAAUGUGAAUUCAUGACUUGAACAUGAUUAGGUUUAGUCACUUGAAAUGUGAAUUAGAGAGUUGAAAAUGGUUGAGCGUAGUAUUUUUGAAAAUGGUUG
rnacentral:lncRNA from 1 species